UACAGAGGGUGCUAGCGUUGUUCGGAAUCAUUGGGCGUAAAGGGCGUGUAGGCGGUUUGUUAAGUCAUGUGUGAAAGCCCCCGGCUCAACUGGGGAGGGUCACGCGAUACUGUUCGACUUGAAGGCAGGAGAGGGAAGUGGAAUUCCCGGUGUAGUGGUGAAAUGCGUAGAUAUCGGGAGGAACACCAGUGGCGAAGGCGACUUCCUGGCCUGUUCUUGACGCUGAGGCGCGAAAGCUAGGGUAGCAAACGGG
rnacentral:rRNA from 1 species